rnacentral:lncRNA from 1 species
CUCGGGAGGCGCUCAGAUUAGAACCGCUGCUCCUCCACGUCGAGAGGAGUCAGCUGAGGUGGCUCGGGCAUCUGGUUAGGACGCCUUCUGGACGCCUCCCGUUAGAGGUGUUCCAGACAUGUCCCACCGGGAGGAGACCUCGUGGCCGGCCCAGGACCAGGUGGAGGGAUUAUAUCUGUAUAUCUGGGGUGAGGGCCGUCUGCGCUUCCCUCCUGAAGCUGCUGCCCCCACGACCCGGUCCCAGAUGAAGCGGAAGAAAACGCCAACGAAAUCCAGAAUUAUCAAGAGAGUCGACUUUCUGAAAGAAACGACACUGACUGUAGGUUUUCACGUGUGUGUUUGACCUUUCUGUCGCCGCCUCGGGCUCUCCUGAAACUAUGUCACCGAACUUUAACGGCACAAAAAUAAACUUAUUGGUAUGAAAUAAGAUAAAAGAAAUCAGCCGAGUGAGUUUCCUCCGUCUGAAGUCAUCAUCUGUGUAUUUUGCAGGAUCUCUCGUUUGCAGACACGACUCUGCUCCGUUAUUGAAAACACAUUUCUCUCAUUCGCCAGAGGACCUCUCCCCGCACAAAUAUGCCACUCUGGCUCUGCGCUGUGUUGUAUCACUAUUACAAAAUAUUUGCACAUGACCACAUCAGAACCGCUUUAAACGGACUCUCUCUGCUCUGCUCAGACACACGUGAAAUGACCUUCUCCACCACACACAGACCGGCCUGAGGGGAUCCCGCCUUCCUUCCUCCUUCCAUCCAGCUCGGGCCCACCCCGCGCCCGACUCCGGACAAGACACACCUGCUUCCACUCAGCUGCAGCCACUUUGAAGUGAACAUGUGGAGGUCUCCGUGCGCAGUGCCCACGGCUGCUCGGCCCUAAUUUCCCCACUGUAUACACAGAUUAUCUGUGCCUGGGUAAUGCAAACAGAGGGAUCAUCUAAAUGUAUGUGAACGCCCCUAAUGGCCCCCGCCAAUUGGUCCUGGAACAGCGCCGUUGGAUCUGGGAUGGCUGCAGUUAAGAUUUGCACCGCAGCUAUUCGUCAGAGGGAUUAUGAAGGUCUGCGGGGGUUGUUCCAUGUCUCAACAGUUAUUGGUGCAGGAGUCAGACCUACUUAUCAUGUGUAUAUUUCAUCCAUUUCUGCUGGAUUUGGACCGAACUGCCUCGACUUACUCAUAAGCUAAACAUGAAACUAUCCCAGCUCCUUGAGAGGUUUCGGGAUAUUUUUUUGCAAUCAGUGAAGAUUUCCUUGGAUGAACAGUUAAGACGGAGGUCUAUUCUUCUUGGCGCUGCUGUUGACAUUGCGAGGAUUAAGUUGAGGCACCGCAGCACCGCGAAUAUCAGCCGUAUGAGCUAUUAGAAGAAUUCACAUGUCAAGUCGUGUAUUAGAGCAGAAACCCAGAGAUAAACCGCCGAUAUGGAGAGUUUUUAUAAAGCAAUGCAAACAUGUCCGUUUAGUGAAUAAUCUAACUCUCACACAUUUAACCAAGAAGCCCCAAAUGUCACUCCGAAUGAACGACAACCACAACACAGUGUGGGCUGCAGUUAAUGAGUUUAGAAGAACGGCAGCAGCAUCUGUUACGAGCCGCUAUGAGUCAGACUGACAGGUACGGCCAGGAAAUCCGCACUCAUUGAAAACAAGCUGCUUCCCACAGAUGCUGCUGACAGAUGACAGUUGCUGGGCAUCGUCAAAGACUUGAAGAAGAAAAAGAGAGAGAGAGAGAGAGAGAGAGCUCCCACUUCGCACCUGAUAGAGCGCACAAAGGCUUUCAGGCAGCGGGCCCGGGGAUUCAGCUCGAGCCGCGGGGAGCCAGAGAAAGCCACCUGGAGGGACGGCGCAGCCAAAAGAACUCCUCAGUACACCAAACUUCAGCGUCAAAUCAGCCCACUCUCACUGCGACUCUGGAAAUUUGGCUUGAAACGGUGGAAACGCGUGUGAAAGGAAAGUUGAGAGUCUCGUUAGACAUCCUGAAAUGAAUGUUCAUAAUUCAUACAUUGACAAACGGAUCUGCACAGUGCAGCCUGACACGAGGAUGUUCGAGUCCUCUGAGUCAGCAGCAGAGGAGAGACAGACCCCCAUCCGUCUGAAAAUGAGUCUUUUCAAGUGGGAGAUAGAAGCUAGGAUGCACGUCUCUAAAAGACAGGAUUUGUGUUUGAAUGGGGCUCAUUUCUUUGGCUGUUUUAUCCACGCUUUAAAGGGAUAUUCUGGCGUAAAAUUAAUUUAGGGUUAAACACACCGUAACAUCGAGUUAGAACCCCCCUCCAGAGAUGAAUGUUACCGACCGCUUGCUUCUCUAGUUAUACCAACUUUAGUAACGACCGCAGGAUAGCAAUACAGAGAGCCACGCCCUCAACCAAAACGCCACUCUAUAGCCACAAAUAAUGCUCAGAACAGCACCUAACUUCAUCAACAGGACAUAUAGGGUCACAGCCGUAGUACUAGACACCAAACAUCUUUUUAACUUUGACUCAUUUCUUUAGCAAAGAGACUAAACACAACUCACCUACUCUCUUCCAGCAGCCGCUUGUUUGUAUUGAGACCUCAGGCCAGUCCAUUACGGACUACAGCGGGGUGACGCAGCUCAAGGAAGAACAUUUAUGAUCAUUUCUUUAUCAUUUCCUUGAAGUAAUAAUCACCAUAUUAAUCAUUUUACAGACGUGGUAGUUCUUCUGCCUUAGCGUCUCGGUCUGAUUGCAUUCCCAUAAAGAAAUGAUCAUAAAUGUUCUUCCUUGAGCUGCGGCACCCCGCUGUAGUCCGUAAUGGACUGGCCUGAGGUCUCACUACAAACAAGCGGCUGCUGGAAGCGAGUAGGUGAGUUGUGUUUAGUCUCUUUGCUAAAGAAUAGAGUCAGUGUUAGGUGCUGUUCUGAGCAUUAUUCGUGGCUAUAGAUUGACGUUUUGGUUGGCGUUUACGGUGUGUUUGACCAUAACUUAAUUUUACACUGUAAUAUCCCUUUAAGUCUUGAAGUUCCUGGAUGUUAAAAUAAAACACCUCUUAUUUUUUAUCGGCUCUCAUGAAGAUCCGAUGACUAGAUUCUGCGUCCAAAGAUCCCACCCUUCCUGCCUCACCCACCACCCUCUUCCUCUGGAGAAAUCCGUAUUUUCAGGGAUGUUCCCCUAAGAGGAUGACGAUCCUCCCAUGAUUCAUAUUCAUCAGCUAUCUCUGCUCUAUAAGAGGACAGAUCAGGAAUCAUCUGUAUGUUUUCUUUUUCUUUUUCUUUUCUUGUAAUUUACUGUAUAUAUUGAAUGGAUAUGACCAGAUCGAAAUAAACUUCAAACUUCAUGUGCAGCUGCAGCUCCAUCAGAAGCUGAUCUGUAAUGGGAAAAUAUACGAUUUACAUCUGGGAUGAGGAAAACUGCAGCUGAGCUCCAGCUCGUGUCUGGGACGGACUGCAGAGAUGAUGUCAGGUCCUGGGCAGCCUCCUGACAAAUUGCCGUCUUUGAUUUUAUUGGUGUUUGACCUUGAAACUGAUGUGGGAUCUCUUCUUAUUAUGAGAGGGCAUAGAUUAUGAGCCAAUGUGUUUUCAAUAGAGGCCAGAUCAAUCCGUGCGAGCUGCUUUACGAGCGUUUUGAAGUGGUUCUGCAGGGAGUGCCAUAAGUGAGAGGGACAGGGAUCGCCUUUCAAAAGGCCGUCUCCGGGGCAGACAGGGCAUCCUUAAAGUCAUUUACAAUACAUCCAACGCCGCAGUAUAAGAGGAUCUGAGCCAGACUGGCAGCCGUGGCUUAAAGCGCUCGGACUGUAUAAAGUCUCAAACUGGAAACAUCUCUCUUUCCAUCGUAAUAUUUGAUAUACGGUUCUGUAAAAACUGUAAAAGGAGUUAAAGGAGUCCUAACUGUGAGGUGGGAUCGUGAUAUCUGUCUAUUUUGGUAACCUUUGUCAGCGCAAAGACCGUAAAGAAAUCCCAUAAAAUAUCUGCAGAUUCAAUAACAAUCAAAGUCCAAAGAAAACCCACUUUAGAAAGUUUGAUUCGAGUUCUGUUUUAGCAGAAACUUUCCUGAAAUGUGGAGGCUGUGGAGUCAGCCGCUGCUCAGGGUUGCAGUUUCUCAGACAGCACAUCUCCAAACCCGACUCAAACACACUUCUUCUCCUCUCCAGCUUCCUUAUUCAUCCUCAAAGGCAAACAUACAAACACAACUUAUCCUUCAGAGCCGAUGUUUUGGCGUCUCUCUGACCCGUGUCACCAUCUAACAAACAAAUCAAUGGAUCAAGAGAGGAUCUGCUGGGAGCUCUGUGGAGAUAAACAAGGCCGGAGACCUUGGACCAGUCCUGCUGUCAGUCCUCUGCAAACACACAAAUAGACACAGACACAGACACACAACCAUCCGAAUGAAUAAUACAAAUGUUCUCACCUGAACAUCACCACAGUUUCAUUUUAGCUUAUCUCGCUCUCCUGAUGGUGUGUACUGUUUCUCUAUUUCACCUCGUUUGAGUUGACUGAAAUAAAGCGGCCGACUCUCCAGAGUAAUUACAGGUUUUCAUUCCUGCAUUAAGGCUGUUUAUCAGGCAGCAGCUCAGUGUUUUUUCAUGGUUAGGUCAACAGGAAACAGUCUUUCUUUAACAAACAAGAUCGUACACAGAGCCAGAAAGAGUCAGGAUGGAUCAGAGAAACAGAGCGUGUUAUUCAAGCAGACUUAAAUCUAUAUGGUACCUUCUACAGAGGUCGCCAUCUUGCUCCGCCAUGAUUCUACGGUAACAGACAAAUUUGCAACACACACAUGAUUGCGUUAAGUAAACAGCAGUGCAAAAGUUAGUGUUAAUAAGAGCGGUUUCUCUCCUGAGUCACAUGUUGGCGGUUCACGUUAAAGUUCAGGACCAGGCCAACAACUUGUAGAGUUAUUACUUUGUGCAUCAUGUUUCACCCACAAAAGGAUGUAAUGAUCUUAAAGACCCACUCUGAUGAAAAAAAACGUUUUCCUUGUUGUCUAAAUAUUGAUUUAUCUGAUGCUACAGGACAUAUCAUGAGAAAAAUAAGUGCAAUUCUGAGUAUUUGUGUUCAAAUCUCUGUGAAUCUCUGACAGACUCAAACAGCAGGUUCAGACAGUGAGAUUUCCUACAUCACAAAUCCAAGCUCCGCCUCCAGAGCCCUGCUAUGUGUGCUAUGCGGACGUGUGUGUGUUAGCAGAUUGCAAUGCUCACAGGAAAGCUAAUUAUGAUAUCAACUUUCAUCAUGUCCCUAAAGACAUUAAUGUGCAAAAGCUGAAUAGCUCCUAUGUUACCUGCUUCUUCUACUAUAAAUGCAAGCUAGCGUAAAGAGGAGUAUGCAGAGCAGCGCUGUCUCCGCCUACGACUCAGGGGCGAAUUGCUAAUGAGCUACUGGAGCUCUGCAGAAGAAAAGCCCCUGAAAAUGACACGGGUAAUGUGAUAUUGUCUUAAAAACUUAUAAUCACAAUUUAAAAACUGCCGAGAACACUUUAAGUGGUAAAAAAAAUAAAACAUGAUCAGAAUAGAAUAUUCCUUUAUUGUAGGAAUAUUCUAUUCUAUUCUAUUCUGAUCGUGUUUUAUCAGAGUGGGACUUUACAGUACACAAGUCUUGAGAAAUAAAGCUAGAACGUGCAGUUCUUCGAGUGUCCACUUGGGGCUCGCUCCAAGAGACCAAAAACAAGAACAUACUUACAGUGUUUAGCCAAGAUAGUUAGAGUUAGGGUUAAUUUCCCUCUUAACACACGCUGGGUUAGAGUGACAGUUUUUAUAUUAUCCAAUUUACUCCAGUUAUUGAAGUGAUUUUGGUCCUUUACUGACCAAAGCUGUAGCGACUCCAAAGACCAACCUUGUCGCUUGAGAGGAAAGUUGAGGGUCCGGUAUUUGUCCGACUCGCUAUCGCCUUCUACAUAGACAAGCAAGAGGCUGAUGAUGCACUUUAUGGUGUUUUUAAUGAAACAUCUGCUCAUGGUCACACAAACACAGGACUCCUACGGAUACACAGCAGGAACAAACAAAAGGCAAACCAAAGCCACUGCUCCCCUCUCUCCACCUGACACCACGUGACACCUACAGACGUAUUAUGUUACGGCUCCUACAAAGCGAUUUGGAAGAACAUUAUUCGGCGAUCUCUGCUGUCGUGAGUUAAAUUCAUGUUUGAUUUUUGUGCCCAUUAAAAAAAGGGUAAUACCCCUCAGAUUAGACCUUUGUAAACAUGAUAAUUCUGUGGUUAUUUCACACAAAGACGGAUGUGCACCUUAAUGAAAAAAUGACCAUGUAAGAAUGUGUUGAAUAAACAGCAGUAAUGUAGGUUUUGUGUGAUGUUGAUUUUCGCACGUUCCCACCUCUGAAUUCUUUCUUUUAUGAUGGAUUACAGCCUCACACAGCACAGCCCCAUCAGCAUACACAUGGGUUUGCCAUUUCCCUAAUCCAACUUAUAUCAAAAGGCACAAUUUAUUAUCCCUUCUCCCCCUGCACUCCCCUCCUCCCAUCUCUCUUUCUCCCAGGCUAUGAUGAGGUAUGGAGAAACAGAAAGGAUUAGGUUACCAGGAAAUUGAAAAGGUGCAGGAGCAGCCAGAGAUGUGAGAUUACUCUGCGUUAUAACACAUCGGCUGAUGAGGAUAACACGUGUGUGCUUAACACGCUGCAUGAGAGGGUCCGGCCUGCGGGGGAUAGUUGGAAUGAAGGUGGCGAUAGAGCGAGCGAUACCUGCAGAUAAAUUACAACACAGAGGGGAUUAUGUUUGUGUCUGUGUUUGUGGUUCAGACCUCGGGAAAGGUGCGGCGUUUGUUUCACUUACACAGUGUGCACAAGUUGAAAUCUCACACAGAUGGUCUCAUUUGGCCUUUAAGAAAAUCAUUAUAACCUCCUGUAAACUUCGCCGUUAGCAGGAGCCGCUGCCGCUGCCUAACGACGGUUCAUUUCUGCAGGGAAAUUUAAUGCAGGGAUGGAGAGAGCGAACCGUAAAUUAACACAGACUCCGGAGAGGAUACGUGCGUGUAGAUGUUACUCUUGUGUUUAUGAUUAUGUGUGUAAUAAGGCGGCAUUUGUAUGAAUAAAUCAGUGACGGCGAACAUAAUGUAGGUGCGUGUUCCUUGUUUGUUUCCGUUUGCGUGCACGAGUCUGUGUUUGAGGAACGACAGCAGGAGGUCUCUUAAGAUGCGCUCCCUGCUGCAAACCAACCUUGGGUUUCCUCUCAAAUGUAAUUACCACUCCAUAAUUAUUGACUAAUUACACUUUAUGGUGAAUGGAACUGCUUAUAAUAAUUUCUGUUAUCUCCACAUAGAAAAUUAAAUACAUCGAGUGCGUGUCGAUGCCAGAGAACAACAAUUCGGACCCAUAUUUUCAGAGGGAGGCGCUGCUUUCAGACAAUGAGGGCGACAUUAUGUGUGCAAUAAAUACAGUCAUUAACUCUGAUUCUCCUAUCGCCAUUAUCCUCGCCAUAAUGGUAUUCAAUGGACAAUGUCAAUGGAGGGCUCAAGGCGGUAAUUCACAUGUGACAAUAAUAAGUAUGCAGCGGGUAUGUGUCAUGACUUUAGCGUCCGCUGAGACAGAAAAUCAGAAAUGUGAAAUUUCACAUUGUGCUAAUUACACUCGCUGGCCUCUGCAGUCCACUGGAUAUAAUUAUAUCUUUGGGGAAACGUGUACGUAUUUGUUCGUAACCCUUUUUCAGACCGGUGCAGCACGCCUCAACAAAUAUCCAGCAGGACUUUAGGGAGUAACGGUUCAGGCGAAGGUGUAAUUAUGUCAGCAGCAGGACCAAAAUAAUAACAACACAAAAGAGAAAAAAAGAAACAGGUUGGAGGUGACAUACAGGUGAUCACGGACAAACAAUGUCUGUGAUCAAAGGGCUGAAUAUGAGCGUGAGCGUAUGCCGAGUUUUAUACACUGAACACGCCCCGGGGCCGCACACACACGUGCACACACACACACACACACACACACAUGCAGCUCCUAUCUGUCAAACUGGGAGCCGUGAAUCUGGGUCAAAUGAAACCUACUGCUUUAUGCAACAAUAACCUUGGCGGCUAAAACAUCAUUUAACGGCGUUCUGACCACAAUCCCCUGUAAGUCUUCAGUUUUCAACAUUAGGAGUGAGAAUCGAUAACUGGUUCUUUUUUAAAAGUGAUUCGAUUCCUAAGAAUUGUUGAUGAUUCUUCUUAUCGGUUCCUCUAAUGUCUCUGUGCAAGAAGUGUGUUUUGGUUCAGAACUUUCCAGAAUGGCGUCAAGCACUCCAGAGUUUGGUUGUAUUUCACGCGGAAAGAUGAUACCAGGGCGACUUGCAACACUUGCAAAGCAUUGAUUUUGUCGAACGGGGAAAAUACCUCCGAUAUGCCGAAACAUUUGUCCACCCAGCGUGCAGUUAAUUUAAAGUGUAAUGUGUUUGAUUCGCUACUUAGCGAAGGUGAGACUCCCACCGUGCAAUAGAUGACUAUAAGAUGUUGAGUUUUUUUUUAGACCUCAUUUCAACCGUCUAGAUUCUGUAUAUUUUUAGACAGAAUUUAGACUUUGCACUUUAACCCAAUAAUCGAUAACUAUUUUUUACAAAAAGCAACUGUGAGUUUCAUAACUGAUCUCCAAGUACUUAACCAAAAUCAUUUUGAGAGCUGUUGAUCAAAAUACAGUGGCAUAUAGAUACAGCCCAGAUUUAGACUUGGUCUAAACUUGGUCUGAAUUUAGAUGUCUCAAAAAACUUUCAUUUUGAGAUCUGUGGUAGUCUGAUUUCAGACCAGUCAUCUAGGCUACAUUUAGACGUUAAUUAGACCAAAAAAUGCUGGAGCAGAGCUAACAUCUCGGCAUCAUCAAGGCAACGUUUAACUCCUCCAGGUCCUAUCUGUUGUGUAGAUGUUAGCACCAUGUUAACUCCUUCUCACUAUAUAAAUCCUCUCCAUCUUCUUAAACUACAUCUAGAUGAGGAUGACUAACAGAGUCAUGCUAGCUCAGAGGCUGCACUGGUCAGCUAACCUUUAGCAACCCCUUUCAUCGAGGCGGGGAAAAGUAAAGUGACAGAUUUGUGGUCAAAUAGAAGGUCACAUAACAAAUUAUUAGUGCAUGGAUCUGUUAUCUCCUCUGUCCAAAGGUGACAAUAUUAAAGAGUUAAUGAGAACGAACCUAAUUGUAUUAUCAUAUUUCUCACUCAAUGAGAAUCAAUAAGCAGUAUCGAUAAUAGAAUCGUAAUCACUAAAUUCUUAACAAUUCCCAUCCCUCUUCAACACAGUGUCCCUCAAAGUCAUCCAUACUAGUACCAUGUAUAGUGAGCUGCUGGUUACUAACACAGAUUACAUUUCAGGCUGGGUGAACAUGAUGCCCUGUCACUGCGUCAGUUCAUGCAGAAACAUAAACAGAGGAAAUUCAAGUGAUCAGAGAGAUAUCAGCAAAUAUUUACAGGUAAUGAGGAAGAACUUCUGCAGGAGGAGACAGUCUGAAGAUCUGAGGAAACACCUGAAAGCUUUUACAUCUCUAAAUACGACCCUCGUGAUUUUUAAUCCCUCAUUUUUCUCCGUAUGACUCAACCUACUUUUCAUCUACAGGCUUAAUACAAACUGUCAUAUCUGAUUUUGUUUUAUCUUGUUUCUUCUCAUGUGAUUAUUAUCAGGCUCCUCUGGUUCAGUUUGACUAUCAGAUCAUAAAUUAUGUGUGAAGACGUCUGAACCGUGAAUAAAAAUGCUCCACCGCCAGAGAUAUGUGUUUAUUUAUUUAAAUGGAGGAGGGAAAACGAUCAAAUUUCAUUAUUAACAUCAUAAAUCUGAACUCAGAUCAGCUGCUGUCAUAUUGAGAGGGUGGCGUAACCUCACAUACAGAGUUUUAGGUCAUUAAAGGAUGGUCCAGAUCGUGUCCUAGGUUAAAGGGAUAUUCCAGCGUAAAAUUAAUUUAGGGUCAAACACAUCAUAACACCGAGUUAGACACCCCCGUCGAGAGAUGAAUGUUGCCGACCGCUUGCUUCUCUAGUUCACGCCAGAGUUCGCUCUAAGCCCAGUUAGUGACACUGACUCAUAACCUCGUGCAUUUGACUCUUAGACCCUGAGGGGCGUGACAAAGACCAAGCGUUCAGUAUCUCGGGAAUCGAACCGGGUUUUAAAUUCCUGCUCAUUUUCCGUCUCUGAUAAUAAUCUCUGCUCCUGCUCAGGGUAUAAAUAGCAUAUUACAUUACUUUCAUGAUGUCACCUCCUUUCCUUUAGAAAGUUGGAGGUCCUUGUUGGAGGUCACGCCGUUCCAUGAAUGAAGAUCUAAUGCAGCAGAAGCAGCGGUCCAAUUAAUGCUCAUUGGACUGGUAAUUAGUCUGAACGGUUUUUAAGAUGUUCUCUGAGUUAUAGGUUAUCAUUUGAUGCAUCUAUAAAAGUACAUUUUGCGUCAAGGCUGUGAAGUGUUUUGAGAUAAUUCUGAGAAGCUGCAUAUGCACAAACCAAAAGCUGGAAAAAUGGGGCGUCACCUGGGACUGCAGCGCUCUAACCUUCAGUCAGCAUGCAAAAUGUAAUUAGCGUGAUGAGUCCCUGAAGGAUCGUCUCAGUAUCCCUUCAUUUCCCUCGCCCUCUCCUCUGCUCUUAAUGCGGCGUCUGACUUCUUUUGGCGCUGAGACGACUGUUAACCUCAGCGGUGUUUUCAAUGUCAAAUACAUGUAUCAGCGGAUUAUUUAACAUCUUUAAAAUCAGAGAAACUAGCUGCCAUGCUCGGAGUGUGCUAUUAUUUUCAAUAAAGCGUCUUUUUUAGUGUUCCCUGGGUGAGAGACAGUCACCGAAGGGUUACACGGAGAAAGAUGUAUGAGUAAUCAGAACGGAUAUCCUCAGGUGAGAGGGGAUGGCAGUCCUUUGUGGAUGAAAAAGAGUCGGGGAUAUAAAAAGCAAGGCGAGAAAAUGAUAUUUUACAGCAGCUGUGAUGGAUCAGGAGCGUUAAAGGAGGUUUUAUGCUGGUAUCAGUGUGCAGAGGGCCGAUUUAACAGAAGAGUGCUGUGAUUUUCAGAUGGAGGACGACGCGUACACAGGCAGGGAACAUAGAAACAAAGUUAGACCGUCAAAUUCACAAAGUAAUUCAGCUGGUUUGAAGAAACUCCAACCAAAACACCAAAAACUAACACUGAAAAAAACAGCUUUGGCUUUCACAAUCAUUGGACUUACAGAGAGGACAACAAAUCACGUUUGGAGUCUUUUGCACCGAUGCAUGAAGGAAACAACAUGACAAACUACUUAAAAAGUCAAAUUGAAGUUUGGGGUCAUCGGCGUCUUCUCACAUAAAAAAUCUCAGAAAAACUCUUGAUGAUGACCUGUUUCCUAAAAUAAAAAUCCACACCUGUAUCAUAUCAUGUGCAGCAUAACCUGAAGUGUGAACGUAGAGUAAGGCAUAUUUUAGCAGAGAAAAGAAAAAGCACUUCGAUCAGAUUGGAGUUUUUCUGCAGAUGUACUCUCUGUUUUCAAAAGCAGGACUUUAUUUUCCCCCUGCACAUUUAAAUAUUCGUGCAACUUAAUGACGGCGUGUAUAUAUCUUUCUACUUGAGUAAUUUAUCGCCAUGGAAACCGAGAAGCUCCUGGAUGGUGGAGAAUAAUCAAGCAGAGACAGAGAGAGCAGAUAUGAUCAGUUUGAUGGAUGGUCAGUCCAGUCUAAGUGCUCCGUGGAUGUUGUGUUGUGGUUACGCCCUCAUUGUUUCAGGCAGCGGGUUCAAACAAUGGCGGCCCGUUCACCCCGGAGGAAAAGCACACAUCAGAUCUGAAAAUAGGAGCAUGACUUCACCUCCUCAUCCUCCGCUCUCCUCGUUUAUAUCUCUGUCGGCACACGAGCGCAUUCAGACUCCUCAGAAGUUCUUUAAUUCGUCUCGUUUUCCAGCCUGUGUUCAGUAAACUCAUUAUUUCCACAGAAACAUCUCAGUGCUGCUGAAUAGAUCGCCCAGCUGGUGAUAAAAGCCGACCUUCAGCUCGACUUGAAACUGAGUGUCAGGUGUGGAGAUCUGAAUCCCGGCACUCUCGACAUCCAGAGCAGAGAAACUAACGCCAUGUAUUAUUCAUCCUCCACCUUGUGCGACUGUAUUCUUCAAAUAAGGUGGAGGAAACAAACUGGCACAGAUCACAGUGUGAGGGCUGAGCUUUGUCUGUCGUCUGACUGUGAGGGCUGUGAUCAUCUCCUGCAGAUCUGAGACGGUGUCGGUGUUUUAACAAGCACACAAACACAGACGGGAGGCAGAGGGGAGGAUUUAAACAUGUCAGACAUAUGAGUCUGUUUACAAUACAAACUAAUAAUGGAGCGCGUCUCUAUUACAGAGCUGCAUCAUGGGUUUGUGGAGAUGAGAACAGGUGGAACUGGGUGAUCAUUAGUGGGAGAGAAAGACCGAAACCAGUCUGAUUUCCAGAGUCCAUCUUCAGCGCUCACCCUGUUUAAAGUGAAGCUGGUGGAGUUUGGGACCUCCAGCAGCUAGAGGUCAGCACCUCCAAGUCUGAAAAAUGGAGGACUUCUUUCUUUUAGGGUGGGGAGCGAGGCCCGAUCCCAAACCGCCCCCUACAAACUCGCCCUUCACCACCGAGUGUCACUCAUAAUGAAGUUACAAUUGAAGCGGGAGGGUAUGAACAAGAAGGGCAAUUCACAAUUCAUUCAUCGCCAUAGCAACACAAAGACGCGUCCUGUGCAAGGCAGCGUUUAUUUGUUGAGUACAUAAAAAAAACCCUUAAGAAUGAAACCUAUCAACGAUUUGACCUGUUCCCUAGCGCCACCAAUAGGCCAAACUUUUAAAGUAGAAUUAAAGUUUCUGACAACCUUAAUGACCACAGGAGGAUGAACCCUACUGGUUUGGAUGAUGAUAUGACUCACGCUGAGGUAAAUGGUGAAGUAGUUUGAUAUGACCCUAACCCUAAAAACUCCCACUGAAGUCUCUAAACACUCUCAUCUCAUCGAUCUGCUCUUAUCAGGGAAAAGAAAAGACUGAAAAUAAUCCAAAGGUCAGAUUUAAAUCCAGGUUUGGUGUGAGAGCAUCAUGAAGUUUCAGCUGAAAUAAGAAGUUCCUCACACUGAGGGGUAAAACAGAGGUGAACUGUCUGUCAGAGACCAUCUAAAUAAAGACCAAACCCAUCAGACCGAUCCAGGGAAGUCACAUGGGCUGAACUCUGAUUGUAGAUAUAUGAUAUAUGUUCACGUUUGCUGGAAAAGCCGCCUGCGUAAAAACCUACAGACUCUGACAUGAACACCUCCAUGGUUUUAUUUGCGUUGAUGACCUCUGCUGCUCUGAUGUUUACUUUAGUAGCUUUGUACAGAAACUAAAGAAAGGGCAGCAGCUGUCUUUAACCUUUGACCUCUUCUUCUGUCUUCGUCUUCUCUGUGAAGAGCCUAAGUGGUCUCUCUUUUAUGCCGUUCAUCAGCAAAUACACACGUUUACUAAACACCAUAAAGAAGUCAAACAAGAAAUGUUAGAUUUAUAAAUAUGCAUUUGAAAAAAGGUCAUAAUGUUCAAGUAGGGCUGGGCGACAUGGGAAAAAGUUUAUCACGAUACAAUUUGAUUAUUUCAGUCGAUAUAUAUCAUGGUAUAAAAAUUGAAAUUUAACAGUGUUUAUUGGUCGCAUGUCUUUUUCAAAACAAUAAUCUCCUGCAUCUGUGAGGUCUUUGAGUCCCUUUUUUGUCGUAAGGCGUUGCUCUAGAGAAAGCAGAGUGGACUACUGCUACGACGCAGUUGUUCGAUACUUGGUUCUAAUUCAGAACAUGAUUGGUUCAGACCCGGAGAAACUCCCCUUUUCAUUGGCUAUUCGUGUAGUCGACCAAAACAUGGCAGAAUGGCGGUAAUCGAAAUAGGACAUUGACCCCGUUUGAUAUCGUUAUUGUUUUAUCACUCAGCCCUAUGUUCAAGUUUUAAAAAGUGUUCCUGUUUCCAUCCACCACCAUGAAGCAGCACCACCUUUUAAAUCUACACCGAUACACCGAUCAACAUGAGAUCUCCGUUUUUAUCAUCAGCUGGCGAGGAUCGUCCCCAAACCGUACUUUGACUGUAGUUUGAGUAACAGUUCAACUCUCCCCUCUGAAGAUCUGCAUCUUUCAUGAGAGCAGAUGGUUCUGAGGCUGGGAGCCACAGGCGGGGCGGAGUCGUUAUAAAAACUCCGAUGGGUGGACUGAGACGUUAUCGCUCACAGGAGUCACCGGGGACGUGGCGAGAUAAGAAAACUGGAUCACAACCAAUUAAGUGAUUUUUGCAAAACAAGCGUUGGUUUAAAGACACUGACUUUUAAAACAACAGGAAUUAAUUUACAGCUUCUGAUUGUGAGAGCCGAGGAGACUGAUGUAAAUGUGCAGAGAUCUGAUUCAUUAUAGAGCAGCAUUAGUUCUGCAGGUAUGCUUCUGUGGACAGAGUAAUUGCACAGUGAGCUUGUUGACUUUUGGACUCGACAUGAGGGAGCAUUUCCACUCACACAGACACACACACCUACUGUGUAGUACCCUGGGAUUGAUGACACUUUUAAUGAGAUUGAGAUCAAUCCAAGCAGCAUGCAUACCAAGUUAAUAUUGCACAUUAAACUGUAGGGGGCAGCACUAAAUCCAAACAAAUGAGUCCACAAACAACACGCCGAAUUUGAAGCUGUUUCUGCUCGGACUGUUUACUGCAAUAACUUCUUCACCUCCGAGUGAGACCAUCUGAUUUUCCUACCACCCUCGUGCCAAAGGCAUGUUGUCACAGCAGGUCUCCACUCUGAUUGGUCGCUGGGGGGCCCUGUGACCUAUCACCUGUGGUUUUCGUCAGGACUGGAUGCAAACAGCGGGGAGUGCGGAGGGGGAGAGGGGAAUCAUGCCUCUGCUGCCGGUGAAGGAGAUGUGAGUAAUGCCGUCUAAAAAAAGACAGGCGCACUUUGACGAGUAGAAAGAGAGAAAGAGGCAGAACUGAGAGGAAGAGAUAGAGGAUUUUCAGGAAAUAUCCGCCUGACAUGUGCAAUAACAGCGUUUACAUGACACUUGUUUUUACAGCCUACUUUAUCACCAAUGUAAUUCCCCCGCCAUGACGUGUCUGCCUAUUUUCCCUUGGCAGAGCACAUUUCCCAGUUAACAUGUCACUUUCCCCUACUAUAUCACACACACACACACACACACACACGCUCACACACGGGGGCAGGGAUUUGCAGAGGUUAUCUUAUCUGAUAUGCAAGCUGUGCAAGCAUUUAGGGUCAAUCCAGGUAACCCAAACCCUACAUACCAGCGCGCUCAUGUUCAUUUUUUGAGACAGAAACAAAUAGACAGAGCGUGUUUGUGCAUGAUAAUGCUGCGGAGCACAUGUAGCAUCCUUCCUCAAGUAUUUGUCUGCUCCUGAGUGUGUGAGUUCACUCAUUAAUACUCAGACUGGAGGAUGUAAAAGGAGCAUUAACAAGACACUCAUGGAGACUCAGGUUGGACUUUGCAGCAAUAGCUGUCAGCUCCCACAGGACUCCAAGACAAAAGGCUUGAGGAUUAGGUUAAUUUUUUUUUUUUUCAGUCUCUGUAAAGUUUGUUAUUGUUUUAUUAUUCUGUCUCCAACAUUCCCUAUAAUCCCCAUUAUCUUCUGAUUACCUCAUUUAAAAAGAAUUCUUGGGUUUUUCUCCUCCCUGUUUAACCUUGGUACCAGAACAAAACCAACAUCUGAACCUGUAAGUGUGUCAUGAAAACAGACCUGCGAGCAGACACCGGGGAGUCGCUGCACGGGAUUGUUGGACGGUGAAUUAUGAACUGAUUAGUUGAAACAGUGGGUGAUUUAUGGAUCUCACAUCCUAUGAUAAAACGGUCCUCCCCUCAGUUCUUGUUAAUCUGCUGUAAAUGUGUCAGAAUAAUAAUCUGCAUGAAGCCACGUCCUGAAACUCUGUUCAAACGUCUGAUUUUAAAGAGAUUUUUAAAAGUGAACGGAUUAAAGGACGACUUUAAACACUCAGAGUUAGUCGACUUGAGGUUAUCAGAGUGUGACAGGGGUUCAGGUACUUACACUUAAUUACACAGAAUCAAACCUCAAUCCAGAACAAUCAGAAUAUACGACUCUAUGAGUGAAAAAGGAGAUUUCUUCAAACUUUGGGGUGACUUUUUUCAAACAUUUGAUUAUUGUAGUUUCAGAUUUGUCCUCUAACCUUCAUGCACUGCUGCAGUUUUUAUCAACAUGUUGCUUACAUCUAAAUACCACGUAUGGAGCAACAUUUAACACAUUUGAGGGCUCGUUUCCAUUUGCAGUCAGAGAUAAUAAAAAGGAAACAAGCCCUUAAGAUAACUCUGGUGUGAUUACAGAUAUAUAUAUAUUUUUAAUUAUGAGACAUGAAACUGAAAAUUAAAUAAACAAGAUAAAAAAACAAACAAACAAACAUUUGAAACCCUCGCUAGGGUUUUUAAAAAUGGUUUCCACUGUCUUUGACUGCAUUUCUGUAAGUCUACAAUGUGCCAUUUAUAUGUAACUGUGUAUUACUGAUAAUUUAUCGGCAUGUGGAGUCACACAGGAUUAAAAACUAAGAUGUCCUCCCAAAUGUUAUGUAACAUUAUGGUGACCAUAUUCUGAAUCCCCAAAAAGAGGACAUGACUAGUCACGGAGUCAUGGAGUCAUGUGUAGAUGAUUUUGAGAGUUUUUCAGGUCGAAUCAAGUGUUUUUUUUACACGCUUUAAACUUCAGUUAGUCCACAUGACACAAACUCGAAACUUCCACACAAAACUCUGAACAUUUGAAGGAUUUUAUAAACUUCCCAAAAAAUGCUGGACAGUCCCCAAAAAGAGGACAUGUCCGGUUAAAAGAGGACGGAUGGUCACCCUAGUAACACAGGGCUUGAAGACCUCCAACACGGUGUCUAAACACAAAUGAUGCCUCUUUCACGUCGUAAUAGCACAGACUAUUAGCUACAAGAAUCAAAAACCAAUUUGUUUUACAAAAACAAGCCGUUCUUCGAGCUGGAUGAAUUAUACUGAUCUCUAUGUGCAGCCGGUAGCCGGGCGAGUGAGCAGGGACCGUCUGCAAAUUACGAUACGAGAGAAAGACGCUGCAAACAAAAAUCAAUAUCUCCGCUGUUUUAGAGUAGAGACUCCCAAAUCACCAAACACACCAAGAGACUCUUCAAACUACAACAGCUGUUUUGGGAAAAUGUGCCUUUUUAUAAUUUUGCUGAUUUUUUUUUAUCGUUUUAUCAUUUAUUAAUUCAAAGUGAGCAUUAGGUGAUGAUGAACCAUGAGCUGUUUAUGGCAGUUUCAAACUCGUCCAUUCAUGUAUUUUUCAUCUUAUUAUUCUCUGUCCUGAACACAGUAUGCCAAUCCCUCAUUGUGGCUUAAAACCAGGGCUCAGACUUGAAUCACAGACCAGGUUCAUGAGGAGGUUGCCCUCUCAUAAAUCUGUCGUCGCUGCGGCACACAGUAGAACCCGGCCGCUCUUUGCUGAUUUACACCCUGCGAGGAAUGAUAGGCAGGCGGUCGGGCCGACAGCCUCUGCUCCUCGUCUGGACGCCGAGCAGACAGACUCGGGUCUGAGUACGGAGGAGUGGGGAGGGAGGGAGGGGCUCAGAGGGGGCUCCACUUGAGACUGUCCAGGGUUGAAGGAAACACAAGCCAACAAAGCCCCCUUUACAGGACGAGGCAGUGAUGGAGAGCGAGGGGGGAAAGUAUGCAGCCGAUCCCUCUGCUGAGGACGAGCGCUGAGGGUUAGAGUGUGACGCUAAUGCUAACUGAACGGGUUAGAGGAGGACCAGUGUGUGUGUGUGUGUGUGUGUGCGUGUGUGUGUGAGUGUGUGUGUGUUACAGUGUGCAAAGGUGGGAGGUGUUAGAAUCUGUUUGGGUAGGUGGGAUUGCGUGUAUGUACAUGUGGGAUGGAGCGUAGGUGUUUGAGUGCGAACAUGUUGGGAUUUAACGUGUCAAACAUGUGUGUUCAUGGUGUGUAUUCAUGAGUGUGUACAUCAUCAGUGUGAGACUCCUCAUGUGUAAAAAUGCGCCGUGUGUCGGGCCGCUGCUCAUAUACAGCUGAUGCAUGCUGAUUUCACGUUUGCAUGUGAGUGUGGGUUAACAAGUGAAAGUGUGUAUCCUCAGGGGGGUGAUUGUGUGUAUGUGUGUGUGUGUGUGCCUGUUUAAUAUGUGCAGAGGGGGCGGCGCAGUCAUUACGCCGUUACCUCACUAUUCCCAACACAAAUUACAUUCAUUUGUGAUCUCAAUAAAUUGGUGUCAGAGUUCACGGCGUGUGUAUGCAGAGUGAUUACAAACCAUCAGACCUGUUUGGCUGCAUGUUUCUCACCAGAUCCUCAUUUUAAUUCUCAUUAGGCGUGAGCUUUACGUUUGAUAUGCAUGUCAAAUAUUUCCUAUGCAAGUAGAAGGUCGCUGUUGAGAAAAUGUCCUUGCAUGAGCAAAAUCGGAUCGUUUUUUUCCUUUAUAACUAAAUAAAUUAUCAGUUUGUGGCAUGUCCUCUGUAUCGCUGAGGAUGCAAUAAAACGGUGAGAAAUGUUCCUUAUGUGACUCAACGAUGGAGAAAACUGCAGGAAUCCUGCCGCACCCAUACUAUUGUCUACACUCUACAUUUUCUGUGUUUUAAUGACGUUAGGUCAACAAACUGAGGUAAUGCAAAACGGUAACUGUACGAAAGAGUGAAGGUCACGGCGGUAUCGUGCAGUGCGCCCUACAGUUUACUUGUAAUACUGUCCCUUUAAGAAAUUUGUCCUUCUUUCAUAGUGUAAAUACUUGUACAUUAUCUAUAUAUUUAUACUUAUUUUAUUUAUUUAUUUUCUUAUUUUUACUUAUUUUAUUUAUUUUCUAUAUUUUUACUUAUUUUAUUUACUUAUUUUCUAUAUUUUUACUUAUUUUAUUUAUUUAUUUUCUAUAUUUUUACUUAUUCUAUUUAUUUAUUUUCUAUAUUUUUACUUAUUUUAUUUAUUUAUUUUCUAUAUUUUUACUUAUUUUAUCUAUUAUUUAUCUCCUCCUUUACUGUUUUAAUGUUUACUUUAUUCGCAGUGAAGUACUGUAACCAAAGCAAACAGCUUCUUUAGGAUCGGUUUUCAAAUGAGCCUCCUUUCCAUGCAUCCCAACAAACAACUCUAAAACAUCUCCAGACCUGGAAGUUGUACCACUGUCAAUCACUGCCAGAAGUCCCGCCCCUUUUUAACUCUGAUUGGAAAGUCAUCCUGCAUAUUGAUAAAGAUAUUUUGCCCUUCAAUACAGUUGAAAAGUUAAUCCUCAUACAGCUGCGUCUGUGCAGGAGAAGGGUCACCAUAUGGUCCAGUCCAACCGUGCAGCUUUUGCAUGACUCUGACCCUGCAGUUUAUCAAUGACUGAGCUCUGCUGAGUGUCUCCAAACAGCUCCCAUCCCUGCAGACAAGGAGGUCAGUCCACCGCUCAGGGUCUAUGAACCGGGUUUGAGUCAUUUCUUUGUCAUGUUUGAUGAAAAAUCUAUCAAAAUAGAAAAAAAAAAAGAUUUAUUUCAGGAGGAUAAAAUACUUGAAGUUAUAAUGCUUAAAAUGUGUUAUCAAUUUACUCCGACAACGCACAGACAGGCGAUGAGGGUCAGUAUCCUGUUUAUCUCAGAAAAAGUGGAUUUUGAUGGAUUUUAAGUCUAUUUGCAAAAAGAUUUAACUUCUUAAAGUCCUCCAUCUGUGAGUGAAGACUUUGUGAAACUGAGAUUUUAUUGAAUUUACCGUCACCUCAAGUUAUUUACGCCUCAGGUACGACCAUCAUUGUGUCCAAAAUAAGCAGAUUUAUCCUUUUAAACUUUUUUAUCUCAUUUUUAAACAUUAGGAAUUGAUAUUUAUGAGCUCAGUAUGUCAAUAUAAAAAUCAGUUUUCUUCCAUGUGUGUUUCUGUGUCUUUGAAAAUCUCAGUCUGGAUGAACAAAGCUCUGACUCUCUGCUGGAGUUUCAUGUUCCUCCUACGGGGGGCGCUCUUGAGUCACAAUCAGAGAGAAAUGGAGUGAGGGGGAAUUUUCUCAAACAGAGGGAGAAAUAAAAAAUGCACUCACACACAGAGGCUUACACAAAGAGGGAGAGAGAGAGAGAGAGAGAAAGAGAGCCUCCCCUCCCCUCCUCUCCCCUCUCCUCCCAUCGCCCCCUCCCUCACUCUGUGUUCGUGCAGGCGGGCGGUGCGGUGCGGUGAGCUCCUCGCCGCGCUCUGCCUCUCUGUGAGGGGCGGCGUCACCGUGCAGCGCCCAGAUGUAUUGUUUGGAUGUGUGACUGUGCAGAGCUUUCCCAGGGUCUGUCCUGCCACUGUAUGGAGCCCUGCAUCGUGCCCCUUUCCUGUCAUUCACCGCGGGUUCCUUCCUCUGUCCAAACACCACCUACCCUCCUCCUCCUCCUCCUCCUCCUCCUGCCUCCAUCAGAAGAUUUAUACAUGUUUGAAAAUCAUUGUUCAGAUUUCUCCUAUAAUAUAAAACAGUCGUCAUGGUCAGGUUUAGGUAAUAAAACAACGCCGUUAAGUUUAUCAUCAUGAAAAAUACAAAUGAUUUUGCAUGUUUCCCUCCGCUCUGCUUCACACGCCACAAGCUUUAAAGGAACAGUCAGGAGUUUUUGGACCAGAGACUAAAACUGGUACUGAUGCCUAAGAGGCGGGUAAACCCUGGAGAGGUCACUAGUAAAUCUCAGGGCUGACAUAUAGAGACAAACAUUCAUUCAUUCAUUCAUUCAUUCAUUCAUGCACACAAUCACAGCUAUAAGCAAACAACCCGAUGCAUGCACCAGGACAUGCAAACCCGACAGCAUUAACCAUCGCAGUGCCAAGCAACCAACGCAAACCAAAAGUUGCUCACAGCAGUUUUAAAGGUGUUGUAGUCAGGAUCUGAGUUAGCUCCAGUUUUUAGGAGAAAUCUUGAAUGUAAACUCGACCCCUCCCAACCAGACGUGUCGGGGUAAAAGAGGACGUAUGGUCGCCCUACAUAAUGAAAGGUGAAUAUGACAUUUUAAUAGAACUGAUGUCAGCGAUACUAAUGAUGAUACUACUCGUCCCUCUAGUCCAGAUCCUCCUGUGAUGUUACUUUAGACGAAUACUAAAUGAAACCACGACACCGUCUCUGCACUAAAGCUCAUUUCUACCUCAGCAACUCCAAAAGGAAACUUUCAACAAGUCAAUUAUUGCCGCAGACGGCCCCUGAGGUUACAGAGCGGAAUACUGUCGGCUCAUCAGGAGGGAAAAUUAUCACCAAAAACUUCUUUGAGAAAAUAAAACCGGACAGUCCUGGGUAGGAAAAGUGUAACUGUUUGGCUAAAAGGGGCUGAAAUCUUUAAAAAAUUACUUCUCCUGCCCGUAAACUUAAACCUCUAAUCACAAUUAUCUGAAAUGUUUGAAACUGUAAGAAACAAACAGCAGCAGCAGACAGCAAACUGACCACGAGCCUUUUUGGGGAACAAAUCGGAGAAAUUUGCAGCGAAAGACCCCACGAUAUUUUUCUGCAAAAGUUCGUGGAGACCAAAAAACUUUCAACAAACAAGCAACCAAACUUCAGCUCAGAGAAGACGGUUACUGAGCUUACCUUUGAGACGAAGACUUCAGUUUGAUGAAGAUUCUUCGUCACAGAGAUCCUCCUUACAGAGACCAAAACCAGCCAUCUUAGAAACACUUCCUGUUUCAGGUAAGAUGGUGGACAUGGACAGGUCCACAACAUGAACAUAUAGACAACAGAAAUAAUACAACAAAACUAAAAUGACACACACACAUCAAACUGAUGAAUCCUGAAUGUUUACAAAAAUGAAAAGACAUAUCGGUAACAACAACAACAACAACAACAACAAUAAUAAUAAUAAUUAAGACAUUUUACACCCAAACUCAUCAGUUUGAUAACAUUUGGACCUGGACCCCCCUCUCCUGUCCUAAUGGUUUGUUCCUACAGGUCUAAAGCCAGUGAUUAGCCCCGCCUCACUUCCUUUGACUCCGCCCCCAGCUGUGGAAACAUACAGGAAGAGGUGAGUGCUCCUAUUUUCUGACCAAAGUUUGAAUUUCCUCGAUAAAUAACUGAAAAAGGAGCCGCAGAGAUGUGUUUAUUAAGCUUUAAGAAGCUCUGGAGAUGUUUCUCAGUUUGAGCCAAAAAAGAUUUGAAUCUUCAAACUUUAACAAACACGCAGACUUCUGCUGAAACUGUCGGCAGGCCUCUCAGUGACGGGCUAAAACACAAAUCCACCUCUCUGAUGGUCCGAGUUUAAAACUUUCUGUGAAAUAAAAAGUCAAAGAGGCCAGUGCUUCAUCUCUGUUUUAGGAUCUUUUAAUUUUGUCAGUUUCUGAAGCAAACCAAAAAAAGUGUACAUUGAAAAAAAAAGGGCUAAACAUACUCUAGGUCGGGAUAUCUGCAAUCUCGCUGUUUCUGAGGGGUUUAGUGAAACUUAUUAAUGCGUCCUCUGCAGGAAAAGAAGUAACAGUAUCCGUCUGCUUAAGUUAGACUGAUGUAGUUAGAAAAGAUAGUGAUUACAUGAAACUUGGUGCUGCAAAUCAAAUAGUUGAAGGUAAAUUAAUUUUGAUUUUAUCACCUUGACAACUUUACGACAACUGUGCAGAAGCUUCGAGGACCUCGGUUCCUCCACUUCUUUGAAGAUUUGACUAAAGGGAAGUGAAGUCGGUUUGUUAAUGUGAUUAAAUCUGUGAUAAAUACCAACAGACCGAUCGGUUUUAUUAAUCAUGUUUUUACUGCAGAAAUUGGCUGGAUAAAUGGAGGAAUUUUAGGAUCAAACAUCAAACUUAAUGAACAGAUGCUGCGCUCUUUUCUUACUUUAACUUUAUGAGUGAUUUGCCAAAAAUAUGAAAGAGUAAAUUUUACAUGAAGCAAACAGGAAACAAGAGGAAUUAGACUAAGAAGGGCGACUUUAAUUGAAGUGUUUAUUAACUUAUUAACUUACUUACUGAUAAGAGAUCAUGCACAUUAAUGAGGAUGGAUAUGUAAAUGUACCAGACUGUAUCUAAAAGCUCUUUUCUGUUGGUGGAGCCCCAGCAGGUCGGUGGUAAACAGAUCAUACAUUUUCGGACUAUAAGGUUAACUUAAAAUCCUUACAUUUUCUCAAAAAUUGACGGUGCGCUUUUUGUGUGAUUACUUGUGAUUACUGAACGAUUUUAUGUGGUAAAAUGUGCUCAGAAAUCUGUCGAAAUGUGUAAGUCAGACUUCGGUUAGCAACUCAAUGGAUGUUCGGAACAUUAUGGUACGCUGUGUCACCACCUGAUUGGCCCCUGACCAGGCCCGGAGUACGUGCUAGCAACAAUCAAUGCGCCAAUGCACCUUAUUUGUGAACAUAGACACGUUAAUUCACAGUGCGCUAUAUCGCCCUAAAAUUACGUAACAUAGAAACAGACAACAUAGAUGUGUAAAAAAUUAAAAAAUAUUUCAGUUAAAGUUAAAACGCAUCAUGUGUUUAAGUGCUGGCGUAUUGCACAUGAUGGUGUUAAUUGCACUUUUGUCCAUGCAGGUCUGUUCAUGUAAAGUGCAAGUAUAUUUGCAUAUAUCCUUUUUGCACAGCAUUAGCACAGAUGUGUUUGUGCAUGCAACGAUAGCAUAGGUAGAUAGUGAUACUGCAACAGAGCUGCAUAUGAUCAAAACUCUAGUUUUUUCUGAGAUAAGCCGUCAGAUGAUCCUUGACGGUUGUGAAUCUGGACACGUCUAAACUCUGGAGGCUGACGCAAACCAAACUGCUGAGUCAUCUUUAACAGAAAACUUAUCCUAUUGUGUGUCUGACAUUAACUCUACCAGUCGUGUGUGUGUGUGUUUAUAGGUUAAAAAUGUGUGUUGUCGAGUACACACACACACACACACACACACAGAUGUCACACAGAAUACAGAUGUAUCUUCAGCUAAGUAGUCCAGAGGGGCUGAGUGAAGACCCCGUUUCCUCCUACUGUAAUCCUACUGUAUGCACCCGCAGCACGGGCUCAAGGUGAAGAGUGAUGAGAGCGCGUCCUGCUGUGCAGCAAAGUGAAAAGCAAGAUAAGCAAAACAUGACCAAACUUUUUAAUUUGCUCCACAGGGUUUGGAGGCAAUUAGAAGAAACACUUGCUGAUAAAACAAAACGUCCGUGUUGCUCUCGGUGUCGGCGUGUAAAUUGAAGAUGGGAUGGAUGAGCUGAUGAGCCACAAACCAUCAGAGGUUCACUGAGUUUGAGUCAGGUAUAUUUCCUCACCUGGGUGUCUAUUACAGAGGUGAGGCAGCACAGAUCUUGUACUGAAGGGUUUUUCUAUUAUUGUAAACACGGACCACGAAUUCUUCCAUAACUCAGGAAACCGACAAAGAGGAACCGGUAACCACUUAUCUUAAAAACAACUUUACUAAAGCUGCUUAUGCUUGAAUGUUAUUAAAACUGUUUUAUCACUUUAAUGUGGUUUAGCUCAGUUGGAGACAAGGCCAACGCAGUCUCACUCAAAAACGUAAAAUACCCACGUUGGUCCACGGCGCAAAACGUAGCCAUUUAAAAAAAACGGCCCUUAAACUGUGGCAUGGGUACGUUUCGUCUGUCCAGUCUUUUCUGCAGGCAGACUUCUGCUCAGUUGACUACUGUGUUUUUCCCUGCGUUAACUAAAAACAUGGAGAACAUCCCCUCUAUUUUUGGUAAAAAUUGCUGUAUUUAAAGAUAUCUUGUGGCUUUAGCUUCCCUGUAAUAACUUUUCUAGCGACAAAUGUACACUUCGGUUUCACAGUAUGCAUUCGGUUCAUCUUAACGAUCCCCGUUUCUUCUUUAUUUUGUCGUACUUUCUUUCAGCUUUCUCAAUGAAAUUGUGACGAUAGUACAUUUUUGUUGUUACUACGAUGGUAGCUACGGACGCUAUCAGCGAUGAACCAGAAGGAAGUUGAUGUGCGUCAUGGACCGAGUUGCUCUUAAAACAUUUGUCAACCUUACAUUUGACCACAAAUACCUUUUUGUGCUAUAAAUAAUGUCACAAUAUCAGGUAUUCAUGACAGAAACCUUCCAAAAAGGGCCACAUGCCACAGUUUAAGGGCUGUUUUUGUGAAAUGGCUACGUUUUGCACAGUGGACCAACGUAUUUUACGUUUUUGAGUAAGACUGCGUUGACCAGGCGCCCCACAUACCGAGGCUCAUAAUUUAUCGGACGAUCUCUGAGGAAGUGCACAUUUUUGUUUGAGGAUUUUUCUUGGAAAAGCAGGUUGAUGCGUCGUUAAAGACAAUAGCGCCAGAUUCCAUUUAACCUCACAGAAAAACUGGAACUACUGGUCUACAUCUGUGUAGUUGUGUUUCUCGCUUAGUGAAAAACUUGACUAAAACUGACUACUGGCUGUUUGUGAAGCAUAUUGGAGAUGGUCGUCAUACUGGAAAUGCUGACUCAGCUUAAAUGUGUUUUUGUGGACAUGUUUCUAGUGUUUCUGCAGACAGCCUCAAGUGGACACUCAGGGAACUGCAGUUUUUAGCACGACUGCCUCUGCUUCAUUUCUUGUUCGUUAUUAAAUUAACCUUUUUCCCAGUGGACUCGGUUAAAUUCAUUAUAGUUGUUUAGUUUGUGACGCCUCUCUCUUAAGCUGUAAUCCUAUAGAAAUGUCAAAAACCCCUGAAUACUGCGUCUGUCGGGUUUAUUUGUCUUUGCGGUACAAAGACUUUCAGCAGGAAAGAUUAAGUCAGCGAACAAUACCAACAAUUGUACAGUUUUCUCACUUUAAAAAAAAAAAGGAUAUUGCUUUAAUGUUUGUUUUUUUGCUGCUUGUACCUAAACCAAACACUUACAGGACUGUUGCACUUUAAAGCCUCCUGGACACCAUUGUGUUUCAGAGAAAAUAAAUACCUCUCUAGUCCAGUUUGACUCAUGUAGGAGUUCUGAACUGAAAAACACCGACCGGCUCCAUAUCUGCUCCUGCACACUGAUAAGUCUGCACGUCUGGUUCGACGCUGCGCUCGCCAGGGUCGAGGUUAAACUCACUGCAGACUCCUGGGCAACAUGGAGACUUGUUUUUCCGACUCCAGACUCCUGGAGGUUUGAGCAGAGGUGGUUAUGAUGCAGCUGAGAAAAUAACCGACUCGUUUUAUAGCAGCUAAACGCAGAAACCACACCUCAUAAGGAAACCUAUCAAAAAUUAAAGCGUGCGCUCCCGGGCUGGAGAUGGAUUACAAACACAACUUUUAGUGUGAUUUACAGCGAGGUAACUUCUUUAGCCUCCAGCCAUUCCACUUUCUACUGAUAAUAAGCAGGCGAAAAAAACUUCCUGCCUCUAUUUAUACCUCAGUACCCCAGUAAAGCAAACAGAGGCGUUUGUUGUGGCGCUGGAAAUAGAGAGUAGCAUGCCUGUGUCUGGAGGAAAAAGCCCCUUCUCUCAGGAUACAGAGCCUCAGAUAGAGAGGGCAUUACAAUGAGCAGCGAAGGGCGUCUCUCUGCACACUUCCCCAAAGAUAGAGCGACGACUGCUUAUAAAUACAGCAUAGACUUUAAUUUGACCCUGAUGUAGGUUAGAGAUACAGCAGCAUGUCAACAACAACAAAUAUCCCACGAAUGUGUAAAUAAUUGAGGUGGAUUUUCAGACUUACAGGAGCGAGACUCCAGAGUGCAGCUUUUUAUCGAUCAUCUAAAGUUUGCUUUCACUCAUGCAGAUCCCGCUUUAGUGCACAGAUGACAGAGUAAACACCGUCAAAAGAGAAAAGAGGGAAUAAUCGAACGUAGCUUUAGUUAAAUAAUGAGCAGCAAAAUGCCGAUCCUCUCAAAGCGGCCGUUCUUCAGUUUUGGGUUGUUAACGCGUUUAAUUGGAGCAGUUAAGUUUAACAAGCCAAACAGUUGUGAGGCUACAAACAUGGUUAUUAGUUUAUAGGAAGAGGGAAAAAAUAAAACAAUUAGCGACAAUCCCCGAGUGUCAGAGCGAGGGUUUAGUUCAGAAAUAACAGCUGGGACUCAAAGUGGUUAAACCUUUAUCGGUGAAGUCAGGAGCGGGGACAUAUCAGAGUUUCAUGUUUGUUUAUAUGUCCUGAAAAAUUGAUCGUGUCAUGGCGAUGCUGCAGAAUCAAUAAAAGCAGGACAUUUUUACCAUAUAAGGACUCACUUCCUCUUCCUCCACCUCGUCAUCUGAGUUUUUUGCUGGUGUAAUGGUUUCGUACUGCUGCGUCAUCAUAAACCUCAUAAAAAAACUCCUAAAUUUAACCCCCGGUCCAGUUUCCCUCUCUCUCUCUCUCUCUCUCUCUCUCUGUGUUGCAGUUUCUCUCGUUAGACCAUAAACGCAUCACCCAGGGUCCACUUAACAACCUGCAUCCUCUCCCAUGUCUGCAUGUUGUGUAUCGACUGUUUUAAAGCUUUAAUUAGUCAUUUUCCACCAGCCUGUUGUCUGCUCUAACUUAUGUAAAACAUAUUUUAAUCAAACCUGACCUUCUGGGUUUCUGCGUCUCGUCGGAUCAAACGCGGCAGAAUACAUUUAGGUUUAAAUAUCUGCGAGGAAAGAAGUCUUCAUUUGGUCUGUUGGAUGUUUAUGUCCUCCAAAAUACUCUUUCAUCAAUAAGUCGGUGUUGUUGCGGAGAACAGAGGCUUUUAUUUCAGUGUAUGUAAUAUUGACCUUGUGCUGAAUCAAAGCGGCAGCUUCUGCUGUGGAGUUCAAAUAGAAAAACUUCAAAUGAAGGAGCGAAUGUGGACGAGUUUCUGUCAUUUCCAGGAGUUCAUUUGUACAUAGGACCGCUAAAUUUAUACAAGCGAAAUACAUGAAGUAAAAUAAAAUAGAUUGGCAGUGUUUGAUACUCAUUAUUUAAUGUUAUUCAGAGACUGACUUGAACAUUUAAAGCAGCUUGGUAGAUAUCGGCAUCACCUCUCUGUGUUUUUAGGAUAGAACAUGAUGGUAAAAGAAGUCUUAGCUUAAUUAGCACAAUUCACACUGUGCCUAAAAUAACUUGUUUAAUUGCAUCUGUCCAUUGACUUCUUAUAAGUUUAAUAAAGUCCAGUGUGAACAGAAGAUUAGCCUUUUUCAUUAUAAUCAAAACUAAAGAGCUAUUAAAAGUUUCAGUGACUAAAGAGCCCAUCAGACCAAAGUCAUUGUUUGGGUUAGGGUGAACAUUUUUACAUGGGUGUCAACGGGGAUUCAUCUGCUUUUAGAGCCAACCCAAGUGGACACUGGCGGUACUGCAGUUUUUUUACACUCCCUCAUAGAUGUCACUUUUAAUCACUGGAAGAUGCAUUAAUUAAAGCUCAUAUCAAUCAGUAGGGAUCUGUUUCCAAAGAUUUUUCCACUUCUACAUCAGGAAACUCUCAAAAUGUUGCCAGUACUCUCUGCAGUGACUUUUGAGGCUGUUUUGUGGCUUUAAAUUAGCUUUUUUGGCAGGACAGGGUGAAAUGUGGGGAGAGCUAGAGAGGUAAGAGGACAUGCAGCACAUAGUCAGGGCUGGACUUGAACCCAUGACCGCUGUGAUGACCCCGGUCCCUAUGUAUUGGGCACACUAACCCGUUGGGCCGUCUGCACGCCUCCUCUUUAUCUGAACUUUUUAUGUAAAAACAAACACAUCAUGAUUUUUAUAAAAAUGUCAUUGACGUCCUUGUUUGUUGCAGGACUCUGACUCCUGUCUCCUGAUUGGACGUCCAACAUGAAUGGACUCACCUGUUUCCAACUCCACCUCAGGUAGGACCCUCAGAUUUACACGAUUAGUUGGUUCUAUUUGAAUUAUUGUAUCUUGAAUUAUUCUAAUAGCACAAGUAUGACGCGUUAGAACUCAGAGCUGCAGCCGCCUCCAAACAUACCUCAUAUUCAGGUCUGGUGUGCGUAGCGGCCCUCGGGGACUGUGUCCGGACAGCUCUUAUCAUUCAGUGCGGGCUGUGUGACAGGAUGCAGGUCGUGUGGGAGGACUUGUAACUCAUUUCCAGAUAAUGGCAGGGCUCUGUCUCCCCUUUCUCCAGCAGCAGGCCCAAUUCAGCGACUCAUCAAUCCGCCCGCAGACACACCACGCCCCCACUGCUCUCUCUUCACUUAUCACCCCAAAACUACCACCACGCACAAUGAAGACCCGCUCUAAUCUGUCCCAAUCCCCCACAAUGCCUUUCAUCCUCCGCAUCAGGUCCUUUUUUCUAUCUCUUAUUUUCCCUGUUUUUCUAAAGAACCUCCCUCAAUAACGGUUUUCGACAAAGGAGCAAACGUUUGGCUCCCCCGUUUCAUUUCCUGUUAGUUAUAUUUGAGAUGUGUGGCAAAUGUCUGGUAAUGAAUCCAGGAGUCGGUAUAUGGAGGAGGAGAAGGAGGAGGGAUGGACUGAGAGUGGUGAAGGCAAUUUGAUCUCCAUGGGUGGUCUGCCAUGUUUGAACCAACCCAGAGCUUAAUGAGGAACACUAACAGCCCUGUGGAUUACAGGAGGGGAAAACCAAACGAGAUUUUAGCCGUCCAGACCCGAACGGUCAUUAAACAUUGAGGUCACGUUUUUCCGUAUUUACACAGUCAAUGUCAGAGCAGGUGAAAGAUGAUUAGCUGGCUGUUUGACUCUCACCCUCUGCCAUCGAGAGCGUGUCAUGUCCACGCUCAGAGACCGGAGAAAUGAGAAAGUCAAGGCGAAGAUGGUAGUAACACGUGUUCAUGGAGGGAAAGAAUAGGGAGAUUUUUGAUUUUAAGACUUUCUAAAGUCUGAAUUAGACUAAAACUGAGUCUGAUUGGUUAUGAUUGAUGUUGUCUAAGAAUUUUAUCAAGUUUCUUUAUUUUUUCUGAUAAGUGGUGUAUUGUUGCAGGACUUGAACCAAAAUAUAAAUUAAAAGAAGACUCUUUAAAUAGCAGUGUUUGAAAAAAAUCACAUAUUUACUUUUCUAUUCCUUAAGAACUAAGAACAUAUUAUAUUAGAUUCAACUUUGUUGUCAUCACACUUGUUCAGAACAAUGCAGUUUAGCAUCCAACCAGAAGAGCAAUAGCGCCAAAAUCAGAUAUUUACAACAUUGAAAACUAUCUAUCUAUCUAUCUAUCUAUCUAUCUAUCUAUCUAUCUAUCUAUCUAUCUAUCUAUCUAUCUAUCUAUCUAUCUAUCUAUCUAUCUAUCUAUCUAUGAGUAUAUAUGUGUAUAUAUCUUGAUAUAUAAAUAUAUAUAUAAAUUUAUAUAUACAUAUAUAUGUAUGUAUAUAUAUAUAUAUGUAUGUAUAUAUAUGUAUGUAUGUAUAUAUAUGUAUGUAUAUAUAUAUGUAUGUAUGUAUAUAUGUAUGUAUGUAUAUAUAUGUAUGUAUGUAUGUAUGUAUAUAUGUAUGUAUGUAUAUAUAUGUAUGUAUGUAUGUAUAUAUAUGUAUGUAUGUAUGUAUGUAUAUAUGUAUGUAUGUAUGUAUAUAUGUAUAUAUUUAUGUAUAUAUAUGUAUAUAUAUAUAUAUAUAUGUAUGUAUAUAUAUGUAUGUAUAUGUGUGUGUAAAUAUAUAUGUGUAAUAUGUGCAUGUAUAUAUAUAUAUAUAUAUAUAUAUAUAUAUAUAUAUAGUUCUAUACCUAUAAAUAUAUAUAAAAUUAGAGAUGGUAUGAAGUUUCUAUUGUCAAUAUUUACAUUAAUUUCAUUAUAUAACAUUUAACCAAAUGCCAAAAGAAAAGCGUUCUUUAACGGGUGAAAGUUUUAGAGAGUGACUGCUCAGUGAAAGAAACCGUCUCUUCGCCUGCUGGUCCUGACCCGGAGGCUCCUGUAGCGGUGGUCAGAGGGCAGGAGGCUGUCAAUAAUUUGGCAGAAUUUUUAUGUCAUUUUAUAUAAAAUUUUAACCAUUUUUAGUCCCACAAAUUCGGUUUACACAGCAGAUGCUUUCAGUCCCCGCUCAUGCAGCCUCGGUCGCCCUGCAGAUCUCUUGGCGAGCGAGUAUGACGCCUCCAUUAGGGGGUAAUGUAACAGUGGGUCUACAGUUACAGUAAAGGCCAGCUGUGCUGCCACUUUGGGUUUUUAGCAGCACUGAGCAGACACCGUACUUUGAUUAUAGGUGUUUAUACUGGCCAUGUGAUCCAGCGCGACAAUAGACAUGAGUCUGACUCCAACCUGGAGCCAAACACACUAAUGAGGACCAGGCCGGAGCGGUCUGGGUCUCCUUUUUAACCCUGUGGACCCCAGUGGAGUAUCAGACCAGUACUUGAGGAUCACAGGAGUCCUCUGAGUGAGUCUGAUACCCGGUCUUCGCAGAAGUGAAGUGACCGCUGCGGUGAUCUAUACGCUGUCUCCGCCGCACUUCUUGACUAAUGCAAGUUCCACACUUUCGCCAAACUUUCGCCUUCCCUCUUCUCCAGGAUGGAUCUAAUUUUGCUGAGUCAUAGGUUUCCCCGCCAUCAUCCCUCACAGAGACCUCUUAAAAGCUAUUUGUCUGGCCCCCUCUUCCUUUCGACGUUCGUUUAGAGUACACAGGCCUGCCCCGAGAGGUGAGAUGCUGAUGAGGCGAAUAUAUUAUUAAAAACGCAUUAGACAUGGCUGCGAGGGAGAUAAUUUGUCCUGCAGCGAGCCCUGCAUCAGAUAUAGGGUUACCGCCGUUGGAUUUAUCACUGUGCUGGAGGAGGAAACUGAACCGGGGCGGAGUGAGUUUGUGCAGACUCGCAGACACAUUCCUGACCCUGGUUAUGACCCGCUUCGCUCUCCCCGUCAAUUUCAACCGUCCAAACAUCGUGUCUGCGCAGCUGUGGUUGAGCGGCGUGAGUUUGAUGUGAAGCCGGACAAUGAGAUGCUUGUUAAUUUUGCUCUGGUGCUCGAGUGGACAUUUGUGCUGGCGAGGUCCUGAGCUCAAAUAUCAUUGGUUGUGGAAACAUUCCUGGAGUGGAUGUGAGCGUAUUCCCCUCCGCUCACUCCUGUAAUUGAGAAGAAGCAGAUGUGAAAUAUCAGGUUUGUUUAGAUUGAAUAACACGUAGCAAAUUACCAGAUCUCCAAACGAUCAUUUUCAAAAGCCCCUCGAUUGAUGCUGUAACGUGAGUGGCUGCUAAUUCUUGACAUCACUUCCUGAUUACAUCACUGCUAACUGAAGCUUUCUUAUAUAAACAAAAGAGUCGCCGCGCUCUCUCUCUCUGGUGGCGCUGAACGAUCCAGUUACCGCCCAACCCUGAAAUAUUCUCCAGGGAUUGGAGAGUAUGUGACCCGGGGAGCGCUCGCUGUUUCAGGUAUCAUGAGGCUGAUUAACAGGGUCACUUUAGACCCUGUAGACCCCCACAGCGCCACAGUGGGUCACCUUUCAUUCUGACACACUUUUCAAAGAAACAUCAUCAAAUCUACAUCAACCCGUCACUGCGGGAGCACUAAAGCAGGUUCAAUCCUGACUGAUUAUGCGGUUUUAAAUUUUAAAGGUAGCGAGCAGGGCGGCGGUAAAAGAUCGUUCCAGGAAAAGCUGCACAUCUGCCUGGAAAAUACACGUUGCUGAAUUCCAUGAGAGUCUUGAAUGGUCAAAUAAAAACCUCUUGGAGCCCCCCAAAGAAGACCGUUUUUCACAUAGACAUAAUAAAGAGUAGCGCUGACGAGCCAUGGGGCCGCCAUCUUGGACCGGUCGUCCGCACCUUUCAGUGUAAAGACAGGACAUAGUACGGCAUAUUUAAGUAUUUAUUCAUAGUGGGAUUAACAGUUAAUUAAAAGAAUGUUCUGCUAUAUGAUAUAUGUGAUGUAUAGAGUAUCAAUAUGUUUCAUAGUAGAUACACAUACAUCUCACACAAGAAAUUGAAAAUACAUAUAAAUCAGAGUAUCAGUAUAAUCCAAUACAAAAAGCCUGAGAGACUCACCAGAACAUUCAGAACUGCAUGGAUUUAUAAUUGUUUAAAAUUGUAUGGUACUGACUGAUUAUGAAUUGUAAUAUUGUGAUAUGAAUUUUGUAAAGUCCUUGGCAACGACAGGUUUCUGUUCAUGCCAGUGAAGCUGUUUGAACUGAACUGAAUAGAGAGAGAGAGAGAGAGAGAGAGAGAGAGAGAGAGAGAGAGAGAGAGAGAGAGAGAGAGAGAGAGAGAGAGAGAGAGAGAGAGAGAGAGAGAGAGAGAGAGAGAGAGAGAGAGAGAGAGAGAGAGAGAGAGAGAGAGAGAGAGAGAGAGAGAGAGAGAGAGAGAGACUGUUCUGAGGCUGUAGUGUGAUUGUAAUGAACAAACAUGACACAUCCUCGCCCUAAACUAUAUUUACACAAGUACAAAGUUGAUCAUGAGAGUUUUACAUGAUCUAAAUCCCCUGACAGAGGACUGUUCUGCAGAGCUUCUUUCUCGUGUUCACUUUCAGCGCACGGAUGAAUCACUUGUAGUGAACCCGUCCCUCCUCAAAACCACUUCCCAUUUCUUCCUCACAGUUUUUUUUCUUUGGGAAACCUUCAAAAUGAAAACAGGAGAUUCUGUAGAGUUUACACAAAAACAUUUUACAAAGGAGGUCAAGCUCAUUUUCUCGCUGUUUCUGUAAUAGCAUUCUUGUGUCAGUUGUGUCAUACUUGUGUCAAAAUUCUAUGGAUUCUAUGGCAAUGAACAUAGCCUAGCUAGCUGGCUAUGAUUUUGCUGGUGGAAAUAAAUACAGUACCAUAAUAGUCGAUUCACAAAAUGCAACCAAUAGUUAUGUUCAAUCUUACUUGUGAAAAGUGAUCCCCUGAGCCCUUUUCUCGCAGCCCAGUGCUCUGACAUCUUGUUCCUUCUGCCUCUUCAUCAUAGAGCGUCUCUGGUAGAAUGACCGGUUCAAGAUGGCGGCCGCAUUCCUCGCACUGAAAGCUGUGUCUACUCUUUAUUAUGUCUCUGGUUUUUCACUUGGUUUCCAUGAGACCUCCUUGGUUUUAUUUUGUGGUUUUUAUGUUCUAGUUUAAGUUGUUUAUUUCCCGUUUAAAAUCAGUGUUAUGAUCGAUUUAACACACUGGGUUGUGUUGACGAUCUGUGGUCCAGCGUGUUUAUUUAAUCUAAUUACCCUCACACACUAAGUACUAAGAGUGGUGCAUGUAACAGCUCCCACUUUAAACCCUCCUCAUCCUUCAUUCUGGAUCCUGACACUAAGAUCGCCGCUUUGGGCGACUUAUUGACCCCCGUUGACCCCGACAACUCCACUCGAACCUGAGAAAGAGAAAGGAAGGGGGGCUGAGAGCCAAAUGUCCCAUCUACAAAUCGGGGUAAAAUGGCAUUAGCUGUCCUCACAGGGUCAGCCCAGCCAUUAGGCCGGGUCCCAAAUAUCCCCCAUCGCUCUUCCAAUUAAGCCGUCAAAGCGGGGCAGAUGGCUGUGACGCUAUCGGGGUGCCGAGCUGCCCUCAUGCCCGCAUCUCUCACCCUCUCCCAACCAUCCAUCACUGGAGGAGUCUAAUUAGCUUGUUAUUCUGCCAUGCUAACUAUUCCAGGCUUGUGAAAAGGCCUCCUUGGGUUUUGAAUGACAGGGAAAGCAUUGAGAGAGGGCGAAUGGGAGGAGGGGAGGGAAGCCAAUCACUGAGUGCAGAAUGGCAUUUGAAUAGCCUUUUCAGCACACUACAGCGGCAAUUAUAUUCCCCCGUCAGACUUCCUGCCAGGAUAUUUUUCUUUGUUGUUUCUUCAUCAGCACAGUGCCAUCAGUUGACAAGUUAAAGCUCCACACAAUGAGAGACCAAGUGAAAGAGGUCAAAGGCGUCGUUUCUUCUGUGCCAUCAGUGCGGAAAUGAAAACACAUUUUGGUGUUGGCGAAGGUCGAACAAUUUCCAUACCAAACACUCGCUGCGGGUUAAAGGAGUCAAACCCACUCUCCAUCUUUCCUGUGUGAGACGAAAAGUUCAGAGCAGGAAGUGAGAGUGACGUGAUCAGGAAGGAUGCGCCUUAUUGUAACCAAGAGGGUCAUAUAUUAUUUUAAGAGUUAGAUAAGUAAAUCAUAAAACAAUCCUGAAGCUUACAGAUUUCUCCAGAGGGUUUUGAGAUGGCACAGAAAGGAUACGGCAGAGCUGCUUCCAGAGAUGUCGAAGGAAAAUAUCACCACUAUUGUUUUAAUGAGAUAGAGACACACAGCGUGCAGUUGCCAUCGCUGCAGAUCUGCGUUCAGUGGUUUAUUCAUCACCAAAAAGUCAAAUCCACUCAUACUUAGAGACACUGAACUUGUAAGAGGAAAUUUGGCAGACCUUGAGUUCUGAUAAAAAGACUAAAUUGAACUCAGUUAACUUUUAAAGCACCAUUAAAGUUGUUAGCAUUGAAUUAAUUGCUUUAUAGAGGAAGUAAACAUUAACUAUGAUGUUAAAACUUGUUUAGAGUUUGGCAGCGGCCUUGUGAUCACGCUCAAGUUGUCUAUGAUAAUAAAAAUCUGCACGUAUUCAAACUUUUGUAACUUGGCACAUUAAUCUAUUUUUUUCACCACAUUAAAAAUGACAUGUUUACAUCAUUCCUAUAACUCACAAUAUAGAUGUCAACGUCAAACUUUAACCAAGAAGAACGACUCUAAGUUUGACCCUGAUCUCCUCAGACAUGACUUAUCCACUGAUCCAUUUUUCCUCUCAUCACGCUCUGGCUCUGGGUUGACGCAGCAGGUUGCCCCAUGCUGUUUAUUUUCCUCCCACCUUUCAUUAUCUCCGUCUGUUCCCCUGCGCUGUAACGCUGCCAAAAAACACAAUCUGCCCUCCUGCUCCACCAUCGUCUGAAGAGUCCUUGUCGGUCGGUCGACGGUCGGUCGGCCUCGGUCCCCAUGAGAGGUUUUUCUCUUCUUUCAGAGCUGCGGGACGCUUUCAAACGUUGUGGCAGGUCACAUGUAGCACCUGGAGGUUAGGAUAUAGACGCUGUCUUUGUUUACAUCCAUGAAGAUUUAGUGUUGUUUACCUUCUAUUCUAUUCUAUUAUAUUCUAUCUUUUUCUAUUCUAUUCCAUCAUAUUUUAUUCUACUAAACCUUUUUUAUUAUAUUCUAUUCUUUUCUAUUUUAUUCUAUUAUUUUCUAUUCUAAUCUAUCCUACUCUAAUCUGUGCUAUUCUAUUCUUUCUACCCUAUUUGAUUCUAUUCUUUUCUAUCCUUUUCUUUUAUUUUCUAUUCUAUCUUAUUCUUUUCUAUUGUAUUCUGUCCUUUUCUAUUCUACUCUGCUCUACCAUAUUCUGUUCUAUUUUUUUCUAUUCUAUUAUUUUUAUUCUAUCCUAUCCUAUUCUUUUCUAUUCUAUUAUUUAUGUUAUAUCCUACUCAAUUCUAUUUUAUUCAAAUCUAUUAUUGUCGAUUUUAACCUAUUCUAUUUUAGCCUUUUAUGUUCUAUACCAUCCUAGUCUAUCUUAUUUUAUUCUAUUAUUUUUUACUCUUUUCUAUUAUUUUCUAUUCUAUCUUAUUCUUUUCUAUUUUAUUCCAUCCUAUUCUAUUCUGCUCUACUCUACCAUAUUCUAUUCUGUUCUAUUCUAUUGUAACCUAUUCUUUUAUAACCUUUUAUAUUCUAUUCUAUCAUAUUCGAUUCUAUUGUAUUCUAUUGUAACUUUUUUUAUUCUAUUCUAUCCCUUUCUUUUUUAUACUAUUUUAUUCUAUUCUAUCAUAUUCUUUUAUAUUCUACUCUAGCCCAUUCUGUUCUAUUCUGUUCUGUUCUCCUCUAUUCUUUCCUAUCAUAUUCUAUUCUACACUCUUCUAUUCUAUUCUAAAACUGUCUGUAGAAGUUCCAACUGUUCACAUUGUUAUAAGUAUCAGGACUCAGAAAAGCCUGAGCAGAGUCCUGAGUCCCCCCCCUUCAGACAGUAUUAUGUGAGACCUCUUAUUUCUCUGCUGCUGUAGGCUGAUGUGAGUCUGUUUCAGUGUUUUGAACACACUAUCAGACUUUACUAGAUCCUUGCUGACUAACUGAGGCGUAAAACAAGCAGUAAGAACCACAGUUAUCCUCGCUGUUUCUGGACUGCCAGGAGGUAAUUGGAAAAUAUACAUUAAUACAUAUCAUACAUAUUAACUUUGAGUCCAUGUGCAGGAGUGUAGAUGUGGGGCAGGGGGACUAAUGGGGUCUCCAUACCCUGCUGCUGCCGGUGAAUGAAGUAGUAAGUUCUGCUAAUCAGGUCUAAUGAGCUGCCCAUUAAAUUUCAUACUGUACAGGCGAUCGGUCUGAAAUGAUCUCGACGGGUUCACGCUGUAAUUAUCCGCACAGGUCACACCGCUGUGUGAGAAACCCUACAGUGUGUCAUGAUUGUGUGUCUGUGUGAAUGGGACACCUUUCGCCUGCAGUCAUGAGGCAGGUGGUGCUGGUGCGGCGGUGCAGGUGUGCCACUCUGAAUUUCCUGUCCGCCCUCCAUCACAAACACUUGAGGCUUUUUCUGUUUUAUUUUAUUGCUUCUCCUGUUAUAUUAUCUCAAUUAAAAAAAGGUUAAUGGAAGACAAAGACGGGUUUGUGUGACAGGUGAACACUGACCUCAUGGUUCUGGCUUUCUGCUCCGAUUCCUGCCAAGAGCUCUUCACGCGUGGUUGAAAAGUAGAAGAGAAGGACUCGACUGAAUGCCUUUUUUUAUACGUAUUAAAAAAACUGGAGCGUGUGUGUAUUUAUACCCUCGUAAGCUGUCGGUGAAAAUUCUCCACAACAGCUCAGGGCAAGGUUGGACGUUUACAGGUCCUUAGGAUAUCCAUAGCUAUUAAAACGGAGCUGCAAUAACUUCAUGCCUCGUUAAUAGAAGUCAUUUACAUAUCUGAGAAUUUAUUUUCCAUACUGAGGAUAAAAUCAUUAAUGUAGAUAAUCUAACCAAGAAUCAUUGUUUAAUAAUUCCUCCAUUAAUCCAAAGGGGGUGUACCGAGGUAAAUUGUGACUGCAUAAACCUAAAAAAAAAAUAAGAAAGAUUUAUUUAACCCCCAAAAAAGACACAAGUAAGAACUGUUUUACAUUGUUAAAGGGACAUUCUGGUGUAAAAUUAAUUUAGGGUCAAACACACCGCAACACCGAGUUAGACACCCCCUCCAGAGAUGAAUGUUGUCGACCGCUUGCUUCUCUAGUUAUACCAACUUUAGUAACGACUGCAGGAUAGUAAUACAGAGAGCCACGCGCUCAACCAAAACGCCACUCUAUAGCCACAAAUAAUGCUCAGAACAGCACCUAACUUCAUCAACAGGACAUAUAGGGUCACAGACAUAGUACUAGACACCAAACAUCUUUUUAACUUUGACUCAUUUCUUUAACAAAGAGACUAAACACUUGUUUGACGCUUAUUUGUAGCGAGACCUCAGGCCAGUCCAUUACAGACUACAGCGGGGUGCUGCAGCUCAAGGAAGAACAUUUAUGAUCAUUUCUUUAUCAUUUCCUUGAAGUAAUAAUCAUCAUAUUAAUCAUUUUGCAGACGCGGUAGUUCUUCUGCCUUAGCGUCUCGGUCUGAUGUAUAUAAUUGUAUUUAUUAUCAUAAAUGUUGUUCCUUGAGCUGCGUCACUCCACUGUAGUACAUAAUGUACUGGCCUGAGGUCUCACUACAAACAAGUGGCUGCUGGAAGAGAGUAGGUGAGUUGUGUUUAGUCUCUUUGCUCAAAGUUAAAAAGAUGUUUGGUGUCUAGUACUAUGUCUGUGACCCUAUAUGUCCUGUUGAUGAAGUUAGGUGCUGUUCUGAGCAUUAUUUAUGGUUAUAGAGUGGCGUUUUGGUUGAGCGCGUGGCUCUCUGUCGUUACUAAAGUUGAUAUAACUAGAGAAGUAAGCAGUCGGCAACAUUCAUCUCUGGAGGGGGGGUCUAACUUGGUGUUAUGGUGUGUUUGACCCUAACUUACUUUAACGCUGGAAUAUCCCUUUUUAAAAUUGCUUUUUUUUUUUUUCUUAAUGCAACAUAAUGGAGUUUAAAUCAUGCAAUUAAAAUACAAUCAAUAGUGAUCAGCUACUACACUCUGCUAUUGAUUACAAUUGGAAAAAUCAAUUAUGUGACAGCCUUAAUUUGAAUAAACCAAUCAGCUGCUGUUUGCUAUUUCUGCCAACACUAGCUGAUGCAUGCACCUCAAAAGAGGAAGUAGGAAGUGAUUUCUGACAAAGCUGUCCCUCUUUUUUUUGUUUUUAAAGCAGGAAGUGACCAAAUUUGGACAAUUUGGACAAGUGGCCACAGGUGAUUUUCUAACUGUAGUUAGAAAGUCACCUGUGGCCUUAGAAAGCACCCUGAAGUAGACAUCUAGAAUAGAAAAAGAAGAAGGUAACCUUGUAAGUUUCAGUAGCAGAUUAAUUCAGAGACGGCGCGCUUGUUUUUGCUUUUUCCAUUAAGCUCCGUAUUUUAUUGAUGAGGCACUAAAAGAUGUUUCCUCUUUAUUUCCUUCCUUAUCUGUUUGUUUUUCUUCUUCCCUACUUUUUUAUUCAACUCUACCUCUCCAGACAGGUUUACAACUCCUUUUUACGUGUUUUCAUAUUGAUUGAUUUUUCACACCUUCAUGGUCUCAUUCAUCAGCCGUAAAUGAUGGAUGGAAAAUGAAACCAAAGAAGGCAGAAAUCUCCUGCCAAAAACGAGUCCAUCUCUUUGUUCCUGCAGAGUCCUCGCUGCAGCCAGAGCGUUUUUAUUGAUACACAAAACAGACAUCCUGCUCACAGUUAUUAAGACUGAGCCAGGGCUCUAUUGAUUGGUCUGACACCAGAUUCACAUUAGCUGCAGCUUGAUGGCGAGCUGAAUUAAAGAGAUUCAUACAAAAAUCGAUGUUCUCUUUGAUCAAAUCAGUGGACAAAGAGGACUUUAAACCUGUUUCUCUUAAAUGUCAACACGAGCCAGCCUUCACGUGUUUCAUUAUGAUGCAUCUUCAUCAUCAUCGUCGGGUAAUUGCGAGUCCUUUGCAUAAAUAAGUAGGUGUAAUUGAACCGCUGCAGCGAGCGAAGGGUUAACUCUGCAGCCCUAUACCAACACCUUACAAACCCACACCUUUCAAACUAGAGUUAUUGAUGCAACGCAUCUGAAAAUCUCUCAGCUCUCCAUCGCUCAGGCCCUCUAAGUGUUGGCAGUGUUGCUAUGACUCCCAACCACAGACCGUAUAAAACAAGAUGGUAGUAUUCAGCUCGUUUUAAGGUAGUAUCUAGCUUUGUCGAGCAGUGACCUUCAGCUCUUGCUGGGGCGGUUCGCGGCAGAGUGUGAAGUGGCUGGGAUGCGAAUCAGCACCUCCAAGUCCGAGGCCAUGGUCCUCAGUCGGAAAAAGGUAGAUUGCCUUCUCCGAGUCGGAGGGGAAGUCCUGCCUCAAGUGGAGGAGUUCAAGUAUCUCGGGAUCUUGUUGACGAGUGAGGGUAGGAUGGAGUGGGAGAUCAACAGGUGGAUCGAAACGGUGUCAGCAGUGAUGCGGACGCUUUACCGAUCAAGAAAGAGCUGAGUCGUAAGGUGAGACUCUCGAUUUACCGAUCUACGUGCCGAUCCUCACCUUUGGUCAUGAACUUUAAGUAAUGAUGGAAAGAACGAGAUUGGGGAUACAAGGUGGCUCGGGCAUCUGGUUAGGACGCCUUCUGGACGCCUCCCGUUAGAGGUGUUCUGGACAUGUCUCACCGGGAGGAGACCUCGUGGCCGGCCCAAGGCCAGGUGGAGGGAUUAUAUCUCUCGCCUGGCCUGGGAGCGCCUGGGAAUCCCCCCGGAGGAGCUGGUGGAAGUGGCCGAAGUGAAGGCCGUCUGGACUUCC